ACACUUUCAGUUCAAACAGAUGUUGAUCGGUGUGUUCAUGGACAAUCUGUGAAAAGUGCUGCCUUAACCUUGUUACGCUCUGCACCUCAGCCCAUCUGAAC